AGGAUUUUGUGGCUCCUUCCUUCACCUAAAACUAUGAGAUCUUGCCUUGCCUUUCCAGAAACUUCCUUAAAGUGUGGGAAUGGGACUGUAUUUAACCUUUCACUCUGUUUUCAGCCUUGAACUAUUUUCUUUUUCUUAAAAUGCCAAAGCCCGACAUUCUACUAUCUCCUGUGGUAUCCCCAUUUUCCCAAGGGGAGUGGCAUCACCUGGCAGCCUGGGGGGCGGUGGCUUUGAGGGUUUCAGGCAUCACUCCUAUUGGUCUUGUCCGGUGCAGGUUGUCAUUUGUGAACACACGGAGGGGCCUUCGUUUCCUGCUUCAUUCUGAAACCACUUGCUUUUCUGUGGAUAACCUUCACUAGGGAUCCCCAAGGCUUUCAAACAGAACUGCUGCAUGGUGUGUCCAAGGCAUAGAAGUUAUUCGGCUUCUGGAGCAGUCCCACCUCAUCCCCGGAUAGACUCAAUACUGCCAACUCCAGAGGCGACGUCUCUUGACAGUCGGUAGAUGUUGCUUAUGAUACAGCAGAGGAUGUUGUUGGGCCAGGGAGCCUACAAAUGAGCGGUAGAUAUUUCCAGAUAGAAAAUACUUAGUUCUGUGUGUCUUGGUGCUUGUGAGAGUCCGUCUUCAUCAUGGAUGGACAGGAUGCAGAACUGAACUAGGAUGGCUCCCCAGGCAUUUCUGGAGACGACUGUCUGAGGAGGGAAGACCUACCUUGCAACAGACAGCCCAGGAGUAAAGAGGCCUGAGAAGAAGGCAGCACCGCCCAUCUGCCUUCACAUCAUAUUUCUGGGCCAACGCACCACCAUCCUCGACUAAGACUUCAUCCUCUUUGGUUUUUCUGUGUGCAUCCAGGCUCUGUGACCUCUAGGUUUCCAGAACUAGGUUAAGACUAUUAGGACAUCCAGCCUCAUGGACGGAAUUGCGCCCGAGCGCUCAGCCUCUGUCGCGUGUGGGUGGCUGCUGCUCAGCUACCGGACACCUGCCGUGCAAACCAACCCAAUGUGUUACAAUAAGAUUAAAAAAUAAUAAUAAUAAAGCCAGACAGAAGAACAUGUUUGGCCCAAGGGCUAACGGCUUGCUGGGUCCAGACAUCUGGAAUUGGAGAAGCUAUCUGAAGAGAAACUUGAGAAGAAUGAAAGCCAACGGCCAAGGUCAAGGGCCUGCUUGCCCCUCUGUUGAAGUCCAAGCUUAGAGCUGGCAUCCACGCCGCCAAAUGUCUCCAAGCAUCACUUGGUUUUGUUUUUAUAUGCAAAUUCCAUCCCCAUCUUUUCUAGAAAUCAUGGUCUGCUGGACCCAGACACUGAGAGGAGGGAGGGUAAGGGAGGCUAACAAUAAACAUCUCUUUUUUUUUUUCCUGUCCAGACGUAGAGUCAGUUAAGGGAUGAAACGCAGACGUUGAAUGUGGAGGCGAGAUCCUUGAGCUAAGUCCCCAAAUUCAGGCAACCUCACCCUGAACGUGUCCUCCCUGCAGACGCGGGUCGUGUUUAGAAGGGAGAAAACAGGCUUCAAUGUUCAAUAACGUUUCCGUUUCUUUUGCCAGCCAGGUGAGGGUAGUUCCUGCAGCCCCGCGUCUGUUGCAAAGCACCUAGCAAGAGACAACCUAAGGGAAGAGAGUUCACAAGAAGGGUGUCGGUCAUGGUGGGGAAAGUGGGACAGCAGGGGCCUGGCGUGGCUCAUCACAUGGCCCCUUCAGUCAGGACCGGAGCAGGGCAGGGGUAGACAGGCAAGAGGAAUGGAAUAGGAAGAGAGAAAGAAGUAUCGGCUGAUCGGGGUGUCCUUCUGUACAUCGGUUUCUCCCAUUGGUUGAUGCAUACAGCACUGUAGCCAAUGAGGCAGGAUGGUAGGUGGGACUAGGAGACAAGAAGGAUUCUGGGAAAGGUAGGCAGUGUCAGUCAAGACACAGGCUGCUGGAGGAGUAACACCAUGCCCGGUGUUACCGGGUAAGCCACAGCCUCGUGGCAAUACAUAGAUUGAUAGGAAUGGGUUAAUAAUUAAGACAGAGCUAGCAAAUAAGAAGCCUGAGUCAACGGCCAACAGUUUCAUAAUUAACAUAGCCUCCGUGUGUUCGUUUGGACCUGAUGCAGCAGUGGGACCAGGCUGCCCGGGAAAGAGUGCCUGUAACACGCUUACUUUCUCCUUUUUAUUCAGUCCAGGGCCCCAGCUUAUGGAUGGUGCUCCCCCGCACCCAGGGUGAGUCUUCCUUCCCUUGUUAAAUCUUUCUGGAAACAUUUCAUAGACACACCAGCACCGUGUUUCUUGGGGGAUUCCAAAGCCACUCAAGUUGAAGAUGAAGGUAAACCAUCCUUCCGGGCAGAUGUGAGGCAGGAAACUUGGAAGGAUCUAAAAGUACAUUGCCGGUGUCCUUUGCCUCCAGACAGAAGAUGUUUUCCUCUUGAUCAAGGCCAGAGGGUGAAAUGACCUCUGUGUAGAGGGAAAAAGGAGAACUGAGAAUUGCGUCACUGAUGGAGAAAGCCAGCAGGAUUUUUCAGGCUGAGUGACACCUAUACAACUAUCUAAAACCUCCGCUUUUGGUACUUUUGCUCUAUUGCUUCGCUGAGGACCCAGGAAAGUCAAGGACAUUCUUGAAGCAAUGUGCUUGAUGAGAUUUCCAGGUUUCUCCACCUUCAGUCAAAUAGAAUCUUGGUGGCAACCUUUGUAGUUCUGCAGCAUCAGGACCAACAGACACUUGCCCUCUUUCUGUUGGCACCCGAAGCAUGGAUAGGCAAGGAGGCAAGCUCAGGGUUAUCUAAACAAAUCAAUGAACACUUCCCAUCUAAGCUGUUGGUUUUCUCCAUCACAGGCGUGAUUAACUAGUUAGUCACACAUCCUUCCUGUCUGCUAUCUUUCAAGCCCUGAAAGGACUUAUGGACCUUUGGAUUCACCUUGUUUCCUUUGUUUUCCGAGUAAUUGCUGGGGAGGAAAGAUGGGUGACAACUCAUGCCAGCAUCCAGAGCACACGGCCUGAGAUUUUGAAGUCCCUGGGAGCUGACGACAACUUCGGCUAUGAAGAAGUACCUGCUGGUUUGUUGCUACCUUUUAUUUGAAGGCUUUUGUUUCUGAGGUUUCGAAAAAGCUUAGGAGGAGCAAGAAAGACAUCUGAGCUCUUAAGGGCACGUGUGCUGCUCUUCUGGGGACUUUAGAUAGGUUCCCAUUACAAGUGGAUCAAGAAUGCCUAUAGCUCCUGCUCCUGGAUUAUCCCAUAUCCUCUUCUGCCCUCAGAGGGCAACUGUUGUUAUGUGUACAUGCUCAUACAUAGACAUAUCCAUGUAGUUAAAAAUAUGUAUUUUUAAAGGUCAGAGAAGUAAAUAUAGAGGCUCCUUUUAAAAGGGGGAAUGAAAUAGAAAAGAAAGUUCCCCAAUUUCCUUGGUACCUUUCCUGGGAAGGGUCUGUAGGGAGGUUCAUGUCUCCGGAGGUGAGACCGCCCCCUGAGUGAAAAUAGAAAGUCAUUCUACAAAUACAAAAUGCAGUUGGCUGUCAUUUAACAGGGGGUAAGUUCUUUUGGAUUAUGAUUUCUUUGAUUUAUCACAGCUCUGGCCUAGGCUGCAAGUGCAUUUCUGAAAGCAAAAUAAAUGGAAAACCAUUUCCUCCCCA